rnacentral:rRNA from 1 species
GGGUCUGACUGGCUCAGAUUGAACGCUGGCGGGAUGCUUUACACAUGCAAGUCGAACGGCAGCACGGACUUCGGUCUGGUGGCGAGUGGCGAACGGGUGAGUAAUACGAACGUGCCUAGUAGCGGGGAUAACUACGCGAAAGCGUAGCUACCGCAUACGUCUUCGGGAGCGGGGACCUUCGGGCCUCGCACUAUUAGAGCGGCCGAUAUCGGAUUACGAAGUAGGGUAACGGCUCACCAAGGCGACGAUCCGUAGCUGGUUUGAGAGGACGACCAGCCACACUGGGACUGGAGACACGGCCCAGACUCCUACGGGAGGCAGCAGUGGGGAAUUUUUGGACAAUGGGGGAAACCCUGAUCCAGCCAUCCCGCGUGUGCGAUGAAGCCUUCGGGUUGUAAAGCACUUUUGGCAGAAAGAAACGGCACGGGAUAAUACCCGUGCAACUGACGGUACCUGCAGAAUAAGCACCGGCUAACUACGCCAGCAGCCGCGGUAAUACGUAGGGUGCAAGCGUUAACGGGAAUUGGGCGUAAAAGGCGCAGGCGGUUCGAAAGAAAGAUGUGAAAUCCCAGAGCUUAACUUUGGAACUGCAUUUUUAACUACCGAGCUAGAGUGUGUCAGAGGGAGGUGGAAUUCCCGCGUGUAGCAGUGAAAUGCGUAGAUAUGCGGAGGAACACCGAUGGCGAAGGCAGCCUCCCGGGGAUAACACUGACGCUCAUGCACGAAAGCGUGGGGAGCAAACAGGAUUAGAUACUCCGGUAGUCCACGCCCUAAACGAUGUCAGCUGUUGGGGCCUUCGGGCUCUUCGGUAGCGCAGCUAACGCGAAGUUGACCGCCUGGGGAGUACGGUCGCAAGAUUAAAACCUGCAAGACGAUGGGGACUCCGCACAAGCGGUGGAUGAUGGGAUUAUUCGAUGCAACGCGAAAAAACCUUACCUACCCUUGACAUGUCUGGAAUCCCCGAAGAUUUGGGAUGCUCGCAAGAGAACCGGAACACAGGUGCUGCAUGGCUGUCGUCAGCUCGUGUCGUGAGAUGUUAAGUCCCGCAACGAGCGCAACCCUUGUCAUUAGUUGCUGAAAGGGCACUCUGCAAUGAGACUGCCGGUGACAAACCGGAGGAAGGUGGGGAUGAUGUCAAGUCCGGCGGUUCUUUAUGGGUAGGGCUUCACACGUCAUACAAUGGUCGGGACAGAGGGUCACCAACCCGCGAGGGGAGCCAAUCCCAGAAACCCGAUCGUAGUCCGGAUCGCAGUCUGCAACUCGACUGCGUGAAGUCGGAAUCGCUAGUAAUCGCGGAUCAGCAUGUCGCGGUGAAUACGUCUGGGUCUUGUACACACCGCCCGCUACACCAUGGGAGGGGUUUUACCAGUAGUUAGCCUAACCGUAAGGAAGGCGAUUACCACGGUAGGAUUCAUGAUCGGGGUGAAGUCGUAACAAGGUAA